rnacentral:tRNA from 1 species
GCCCGCGUAGCUCAAUCGGUAGAGCGUGGGACUCUUACAGAUGUAGGGUU